rnacentral:rRNA from 1 species
CCCUUAGACACCCUAGGCGGCACGCGCGCUACAAUGGGUGGAAGAACGUGUUACUGCCUCCGAAAGGAGGGGUGAAUCACGAAUUCUUGCCCGUGAAUGGGAUAGUUUGUUGCAAUUUUCGGACUUGAACUAGGAAUCCCUUGUAAACAUGCUCAAGAAUAGCGUGUUGAAUACGUCCCUGCCGUUUGUACACACCGCCCGUCGUUUCUUCCGACUGAUACUCAUUGUGAGUUGCAAGGACCCUUUAUUGGGAAAUUGCUGCAAAUGCUUUGUAUUGGAGGAAGAAAAAGUCGUAACA